AACGUAGGAGACAAACGUUAUCCGGAGUUACUGGGCGUAAAGGGCGUGUAGGUGGUUUCGUAAGUCUGGCGUGAAAUAUCUCGGCUUAACCGAGGCAGGUCGUCGGAUACUGCGGAACUAGAGGACGGUAGAGGCGUGUGGAAUUCCGGGUGUAGUGGUGAAAUGCGUAGAGAUCCGGAGGAACACCAGUGGCGAAAGCGGCCACCUGGACUGCACCUGACGCUGACACGCGAAAGCUAGGGGAGCGAACGGG
rnacentral:rRNA from 1 species